rnacentral:rRNA from 1 species
UGCAGUCGAACGAUGAAGCCCAGCUUGCUGGGUGGAUUAGUGGCGAACGGGUGAGUAACACGUGAGUAACCUGCCCCUGACUCUGGGAUAAGCGCUGGAAACGGCGUCUAAUACCGGAUAUGACCUAUCCUCGCAUGAGGGUGGGUGGAAAGUUUUUCGGUUGGGGAUGGACUCGCGGCCUAUCAGCUUGUUGGUGAGGUAAUGGCUCACCAAGGCGACGACGGGUAGCCGGCCUGAGAGGGUGACCGGCCACACUGGGACUGAGACACGGCCCAGACUCCUACGGGAGGCAGCAGUGGGGAAUAUUGCACAAUGGGCGAAAGCCUGAUGCAGCAACGUCGCGUGAGGGAUGACGGCCUUCGGGUUGUAAACCUCUUUUAGUAGGGAAGAAGGGCUUCGGCUUGACGGUACCUGCAGAAAAAGCACCGGCUAACUACGUGCCAGCAGCCGCGGUAAUACGUAGGGUGCGAGCGUUGUCCGAAAUUAUUGGGCGUAAAGAGCUCGUAGGCGGUUUGUCGCGUCUGCUGUGAAAACCCGAGGCUCAACCUCGGGCCUGCAGUGGGUACGGGCAGACUUGAGUGCGGUAGGGGAGAAUGGAAUCCCUGGUGUAGCGGUGGAAUGCGCAGAUAUCAGGAGGAACACCGAUGGCGAAGGCAGUUCUCUGGGCCGUAACUGACGCUGANGAGCGAAAGCGUGGGGAGCGAACAGGAUUAGAUACCCUGGUAGUCCACGCCGUAAACGUUGGGCGCUAGAUGUGGGGANCUUUCCACGGUUUCCGUGUCGUANCUAACGCAUUAAGCGCCCCGCCUGGGGAGUACGGCCGCANGGCUAAAACUCAAANGAAUUGANGGGGCCCGCACAAGCGGCGNANCAUG